GGAAGUACCGCCUGCCCUGUGGAACCCUAAACGGCCGCGGCAUUAAAACCGUGCAAAGGUAGCACAAUCACUUGUCCCUUAAAUGAGGACGCGUAUGAAAGGCAACAUGAGAGAAGACCUGUCUCCUAAGGAAUGCCAAUGAAAUUGAACUACCAGUUCAAAAGCUGGUAUAAAAAAGCAAGACAAAAAGACCCUGUGGAACUUUAAUUAACUGCUUUACAUAACAUAAACCAGCAAUUUUAGUUGGGACAACUUUAGAAAAAAUAAACUUCCUAAUUUUAAUAGACCAACAAGUCAAAAACAUAAUGACCCAGUAAUACUGAUUAACGAAACAAGCUACCCCAGGGAUAACAGCGCUACCUUCUCAAAGAGUUCAUAUCAACAAGAAGAUCUACGACCUCGAUGUUGGAUCAGGAUACCCAGACGGUGCAGCAGCUGUCAAUGGUUCGUUUGUUCAACGAUUAAUACCCUACGUGAUCUG
rnacentral:rRNA from 1 species